GAAAAGGGUUGGGUAGGUACCAGAGCCAAAGUUGGGAAGGGCAGAAUUUGAGACAGGCAGGCUCCUGGUCUAAUUAUAGACACUGAAGUAGAGACUGAGCAAGCAUUGUGGUAGGUGCGGAGGACUGCACCGCAUGCUAGGCCUGGGCUGACGAACCACAGCCAGUCAUUUCUUCAUUCCUUCAUUCACUCAGAACCAGUGGAUUCAGCCCCUGCUCUGUACCAGUGUCUGGGCCGGGCAUUAGAGGGAUGGCAGUGAGUGAGAGACAUGGCUCUCGCCCUGGUGUAACUUCCAGUCCAGCAGAGAAGACAGACUUACAGAGUCAUUACAAUGACACUCAAUGACAGCCACUUGGUCCAGCCUGAGGAUGUCUGUUUGAUUCCAACAACUCCACAGUCUCCUGCGGCUGGGCACCGUGUACCUGUCGGUAAGUAGAUGCCUUUUGACCAUCCUGAAGUCACUGGCAGAAAUGCCAGCUCCUGGCCACCCAGAGCUUCUCACACUGCAGAGAGUGGUUGCUCGCUGCCUGUGGCUGGGGCCCUCGGAUCAUUCAUCCAAGGAACGAAAAUACAAAAAAAAUACAAUACCGUUGGUCUUCAAACACUUGGCUGGAGGCAGAGGAAACCCACCCUCUUCUAUUCUGAGCCCUGCCUGGGGCUCAGAACCUUCUCUCCUCAGGCACCAGGGCCCCUGGGAGGCUAAGGCGAUGUCCCCCCAGCCUCCCCCAGGGCGCCUUCCAUUCAUGCUCUGAGUUCUGCAGGAGGGAGGAUCGAUGCCUUCUGUGUCUCCCGGAGACAGCCCCGCACAUUCCUGCAGAACUAUUGACAGCUUCGCCUCUCUUUCGUAUCUUCCAUACUUCAUUUGUGAAAAGAACUGUAAUUACCCUCGAGGAGUCAUUGGAGAAAAAGUGUACAAAUUGAAAAAGACUGGAAAUGGGCACCUCUGGCUGCGGAGAAAACACUUUCAAUAUGGAACCGUUCUCGCCCGGGCCUGUGCAUUCCCAUUCGCCUGGCCCUUAGCUUCUCUGCCGCAAACUGUGGCAGCCUUUGUGCCCACCCUGACAAUGGGCGUUUGACAUGGAGGGCAGCGAGAUUAAUGAGGGACCAGAGUUUUCCAUUUUUUCCUCUAACAGCUAACUACUUUCUUUUCAACUCCUCCUGCUAAAUAGCCCGGACAAUGAAUAAAGCUUCGGUUGUACUUGGUUUUUUUCUCUCUUUUCUUCUUUGCUUCCCACACAGUUGGUUGUUGACGCUGCCUUAACCUAACCGGCCAGUGGCCUUGUUAACUGGUCCGGAGACAUAGAUCUUGCCAAGUGUGGAGAGUUCUGGGAUUUGGGGAAGAAAAGGUCCCUGUUACUGGGGAGUUAUCUGAGGACAAGACGCUGAAAGCUUUGCCCCAGACCCUCAAAGGUGACCAUGGACCAGAGCCAAGCUCUGAGCUUCCUGCCCAGCUUCCUCAUCCGAUGGUGCCUUUCA
rnacentral:lncRNA from 1 species